ensembl:snRNA U6 U6 spliceosomal RNA
GUGUUCGCCUUGGCAGCACAUACUAAAAUUGGAACGAUACAGAGAAGAUUGGCAUGGCCCCUACACAGGGAUGAUACUCAUAUUCCUGCAGCUUUACAUAUUAGA